UGGGGAAUCUUCCGCAAUGGACGAAAGUCUGACGGAGCAACGCCGCGUGAGUGAAGACGGCCUUCGGGUUGUAAAGCUCUGUGAUCCGGGACGAAAGAGCCUGAGGUAAAUAGCCUAAGGAAGUGACGGUACCGGAAAAGCAAGCCACGGCUAACUACGUGCCAGCAGCCGCGGUAAUACGUAGGUGGCAAGCGUUGUCCGGAAUUAUUGGGCGUAAAGCGCGCGCAGGCGGCUUACUAAGUCCAUCUUAAAAGUGCGGGGCUUAACCCCGUGAUGGGAUGGAAACUGGAAAGCUAGAGUAUCGGAGAGGAAAGUGGAAUUCCUAGUGUAGCGGUGAAAUGCGUAGAGAUUAGGAAGAACACCGGUGGCGAAGGCGACUUUCUGGACGAAAACUGACGCUGAGGCGCGAAAGCGUGGGGAGCAAACAGG
rnacentral:rRNA from 1 species